rnacentral:rRNA from 1 species
CCUACGGGAGGCAGCAGUGGGGGAUAUUGCACAAUGGGGGGAACCCUGAUGCAGCGACGCCGCGUGGGUGAAGGAGCGUUUCGGCGCGUAAAGCCCUAUCGGCAGGGAAGAAGGAGGACGGUACCUGACUAAGAAGCCCCGGCUAACUACGUGCCAGCAGCCGCGGUAAUACGUAGGGGGCAAGCGUUAUCCGGAUUUACUGGGUGUAAGGGGGGCGCAGACGGCAGCGCAAGCCAGGAGUGAAAGCCCGGGGCCCAACCCCGGGACUGCUCUUGGAACUGCGCGGCUGGAGUGCAGGAGGGGCAGGCGGAAGUCCUGGUGUAGCGGUGGAAUGCGUAGAUAUGAGGAGGAACACCAGUGGCGAAGGCGGCCUGCUGGACUGCGACUGACGUUGAGGCCCGAAAGCGUGGGGAGCAAACAGGAUUAGAUACCCGGGUAGUC